CUAUUUGAGGAUGGAACCAAGCCGAACCCGAGCCUCUAACUCCUUAUUUCUUUGCUUAUCUUCUCUGAAACAGGUUUUCCAGUGCUCUGUAUCAAUACGUCAAUGUUGUAGUGAUGCUUAACCUAAAAUAAAUCAUAUCUUUAACUUGUUAGUUUAAGGAGCUAUUUGGUUGCAGCUUUAUGGCAUGAUUUAAGAGGCUAUUUGGUGGUUUCUUAAAUUCAAGGGAAUAUCAGAUUUAAUUGAUUCAGGGUUUGUUUCGUAGCAGCAUUUCGCAUGAUUUAAACAAGAUUAAUAUAAAAUGUGAUAAUCAUAAAUUAUUACUAAUUGUAGACUUAUUUGGUACGUCCUUGUGCCCUUGGCCUUCAUCUUCUCUAGCUUGUUCAUCGUUGAAAAGGUGAACUUAUUAGUGGAAAAUUUAUCAUUUGCUUA